rnacentral:rRNA from 1 species
CCUCAGUAACGGCGAGUGAAGCGGUAACAGCUCAAAUUUGAAAUCUGGCUCUUUUAGGGUNCGAGUUGUAAUUUGUAGAAGAUGCUUUGGGUGUGGCCCUGGUCUAAGUUCCUUGGAACAGGACGUCAUAGAGGGUGAGAAUCCCGUAUGUGACUAGGUGCUUUCGCCCGUGUAAAGCUCUUUCGACGAGUCGAGUUGUUUGGGAAUGCAGCUCAAAAUGGGUGGUAAAUUUCAUCUAAAGCUAAAUAUUGGCCAGAGACCGAUAGCGCACAAGUAGAGUGAUCGAAAGAUGAAAAGCACUUUGGAAAGAGAGUUAAACAGUACGUGAAAUUGUUGAAAGGGAAGCGCUUGCAACCAGACUUAGCUGCUGUCGAUCAUCUAGGGUUCUCCCUGGUGCACUCGAUAGUAUCUAGGCCAGCAUCGGUUUGGGUGGUGGGAUAAAGGCCUUGGGAAUGUAGCUCCUUUCGGGGAGUGUUAUAGCCCUCGGUGCAAUGCCGCCUACCUGGACCGAGGACCGCGCUUUGGCUAGGAUGCUGGCGUAAUGGUUGUAAGCGACC